ACUUGGGUAGUUUAAUUUAGGAUGAUAAUUUGUGGAGUUAUAGGUAUCGCGUAGAUCUCAGGUU
rnacentral:tRNA from 1 species